CUGGACCCUGCCGAGCCCUUCGCAGGCCUCGCUUCCAGCGCCCUCAGUGUCUUUGAGACGGAGCCAGGUGGCGGCGGCAUGCGCUGGUUUGUGGACACAGCUGAGCGUUAUGCGCUGGCUGGCCGGCCACUGGCCGAGCUCUGUGACCACAACGCAAAGGUGGCUCGAGAGCUUGGCCGCAACCAGGUGGCGCAAACGUGGACCAUGCUGCGGAUCAUCUACUGCAGCCCUGGCCUAGUGCCCACUGCAAACCUCAACCACAGUGUGGGCAAGGGUGGCUCCUGUGGCCUCCCGCUCAUGAACAGGUAGAUGCCGGGGGCAGCUCUCCCCAGGGGCUGGGGCUGCUCGAGCCCACCCACCCAUGGGCCCUUCCUGCCCCCAGUUUCAACCUGAAGGAUAUGGCCCCAGGGUUGGGCAGUGAGACGCGGCUGGACCGCAGCAAAGGAGAUGCACGGAGCGACACAGUUCUGCUCGACUCCUCGGCCACACUCAUCACCAAUGAGGAUAACGAGGAAACCGAGGGCAGCGACGUACCUGCCGACUACCUGCUGGGUGACGUGGAAGGUGAGGAGGACGAGCUGUACCUGCUGGAUCCGGAACACGCGCACCCCGAGGACCCUGAGUGCGUGCUGCCGCAGGAGGCCUUUCCGCUGCGCCACGAGAUCGUGGACACGCCUCCCGGGCCCGAGCACCUGCAGGACAAGGCCGACUCCCCGCACGUGAGCGGCAGCGAGGCAGAUGUGGCCUCCCUGGCCCC
rnacentral:sRNA from 1 species